UACGUAGGGGGCGAGCGUUGUCCGGAGUUACUGGGCGUAAAGGGCAUGCAGGCGGUCGGACGCGUUUUGUGUGACAGCGGGUGGCUCAACUACGCGAGCAUACGAAAGACGGUUUGACUUGAGGGCUCGAGAGGGACACGGAAUUCCGGGUGGAGUGGUGAAAUGCGUAGAGAUCCGGAGGAACACCGAAGGCGAAGGCAGUGUCCUGGCGAGUGACUGACGCUGAGGUGCGAAAGCCAGGGGAGCGAACGGG
rnacentral:rRNA from 1 species